rnacentral:rRNA from 1 species
UACGUAGGGGGCAAGCGUUGUCCGGAAUUAUUGGGCGUAAAGAGCUCGUAGGCGGUGUGUCGCGUCGGUCGUGAAAACUUGGGGCUUAACCCUGAGCUUGCGGUCGAUACGGGCAUCACUGGAGUUCGGCAGGGGAGACUGGAAUUCCUGGUGUAGCGGUGAAAUGCGCAGAUAUCCGGAGGAACACCGGUGGCGAAGGCGGCUUCCUGGACCGACACUGACGCUGAGGCGCGAAAGCUAGGGGAGCAAACGGG